GACGAUCUCUCCUCAUCAUCGAAACAGCGAGAGGAAAACGCUGAAGAAGGUCCCAACUAUGUGCUGCUUCAGAGAGUGCGAGGCAUCACUUGUCGGCUGCCUCCAAUCUCUCACACAGCCAGCCAGGCAGAGGCGAGAGAUCUUCUGAGUGAUACUCUCUGCAUCCAUCCGUCGUCUCUCUGAUCCACUCACCGUACGUGUGCGUCUGUCCAGUGAUGCUCCAGAAGCAGAGAUGGCCAGCCUGCGAUGACACCAGAACACCUCUGUUUCUCAGUUUUCUGUUGCCAGCUCGAUGCUGCAAGAACAAGAGGCCGUCCACAGGGGCCCCAACUCUAUCCACUCUAUAGGCACACAAGCAGAAGAAAGAACAAACAGGUGGAGCACCGGUCCCUGCGUCUCCAGCCUCCAGAUAAUGACCUCUCCGUCAUGACUCGCCGUGGCAACGACCCCCAGCGCAGAGCAAUGACUUACAGCCAGGAUGUCUGAUUUGUGAACACCGCUGGACUUCCAU